rnacentral:rRNA from 1 species
GACGAACGCUGGCGGCGUGCCUAAUACAUGCAAGUCGAACGCAGUGGGGACGGGUGAGUAACACGUGGGUAACCUCCCAUCAGAGGACAUAACACUUGGCAACAGGUGCUAAACCGAUACUGAUGGAUGGACCUGCGGUGCAUUAGCUAGUUGGUGGGGUAACGGCUCACCAAGGCCACGAUGAAUAGCCGACCUGAGAGGGUGAGCAGCCACACUGUGACUGAGACACGGUCCAGACUCCUACGGGAGGCAGCAGUGGGGAAUCUUCGACAAUGGGCGCAAGUCUGACCUAGCAACGCCGCGUGAGUGAAGAAGGUCUUCGGGUCGUAAAACACUGUUGGUAGAGAAGCGGUAUCUAACCAGAAAGCCCCGGCUAACUACGUGCCAGCAGCCGCGGUAAUUC